rnacentral:lncRNA from 1 species
CCUUGCACCACCAAUUUUGACUGAUAGCUAUAGAACUCCAUAUGAUGAUGCCUACUAUUUCUAUGGCACCAGAAAUCCUUUGGAUCCCAGCCUCGCAUAUUAUGGUGCAGGUGGGACACAGUCUUCAUCUGCUCCACCCCCUUUUGAUGCCACUCAGAAACCUCCUGUGCCCAUCAAUAAAAUUGGAGCAAGCAUUGCAAGUACUAGACCAAAAGGCUUGGGAAUAUUUCCUGAGGAAAAGCCAAAACCCACAAGAGACACUACCUUAUCUUAUCAGCAAGAAUUACAACAGCAGAUAAGGGAAAGAGAAGAACGUCGUAGGCAAGAAAAGGAAGAAAAAGAACGCUAUG